rfam:Mycoplasmataceae bacterium CE_OT135 Contig_31, whole genome shotgun sequence.
GGGGAUGUUAGUUUUGACUUAAUUCAGCCAAUAAUUAGGGCAGCAAAAACUUGAAAAAAUCAAGAUACUAAUGAAAUUGACGAAAGUCCAAAUAUUCCUGUAAGUUUGUUGAAUAACAACUACAGAACCAACUACGCGAGAAUUUAAUUCUUAACUAGUUCUUAUUGCUUGUUCCCUUCAAGUAAUUCGUAAUGAAAGGGAAUUAACCGAAUUAGUUUGUUUAUUCGCUACUUGGUUAAUUACUGAAAAUGAACUAUUUGGCUACUAAUACUUGUCAGUUAAUAUUAAGCCAAAAAAAACUUUAACUGAAUAAGCUGUAGACCUAAUUAUUCACUAUUUAAGGACAGGGGUUCAAUCCCCUCAUCUCCACCA